UUGAACGCUGGCGGCAGGCCUAACACAUGCAAGUCGAGCGGAUGAAGGGAGCUUGCUCCUGGAUUCAGCGGCGGACGGGUGAGUAAUGCCUAGGAAUCUGCCUGGUAGUGGGGGAUAACGUCCGGAAACGGGCGCUAAUACCGCAUACGUCCUGAGGGAGAAAGUGGGGGAUCUUCGGACCUCACGCUAUCAGAUGAGCCUAGGUCGGAUUAGCUAGUUGGUGGGGUAAAGGCCUACCAAGGCGACGAUCCGUAACUGGUCUGAGAGGAUGAUCAGUCACACGGGAACUGAGACACGGCCCAGACCCAGAGGGGAGGCAGCGUGGGGGAAUUUGGGAGAAGGGGCGAAAGCUUGACCCAACCAGGCCGCGUGUGUGAAGAAGGUCUUCGGUUUGUAAAGCUUUUUAAGUGGGGAGGAAGGGAAGUAAGUUAAUACCUUGCUUUUUGGACUUUACAAAAAAAAAAAGCCCCGGCUAACUUCGUG
rnacentral:rRNA from 1 species